rnacentral:tRNA from 1 species
GCGGGGAUGCCGGAGCGGUCAAACGGGGCAGACUCAAGAUCUGUUGGCUUAGUGCCUACCGGGGUUCAAAUCCUCGUCCCCGCA